GAGGUGACACCUGUCAUGUACUUAUUGUUUAAUUUGUCUAUGGUGAUCACUUUGUUGGUGCAAAUAAAUAAAUAGAUAAAUAAAUAACUGCGAGUUGAGAAAGGCUAUCAAGACCACGUGCUAGCAAGCGCAGUGUGGGACGACCAUUUAUCAGAUGUAGCGACGACCUGGUACCCCCGGCGGGAUUCGAUCACCGGUGCAUCGCUAGAUACGAAUGCACCGGACGUUUUAUCAAAGAACUAACUUCAAAGAAGAUUCUUAGCGAACUAUUACUCUUUUUCCAUUCAGGCCUAUCUUCAUUGCGCCACACAUUGCACCGGUGACCUAUAACUCAAGCGUCAACAAAUAACUGUUCCAACAAAACACGCACGAUCGCUUACGACAGCUAUAAACCUUAUUAAAACAUCACGACGAUCGGCUAAUAUCCAUGUACGGAGACAUAUAAGUAGCGAAAUACACUUAAAAGUCCUCACACGAUGCUAAGUCUGCAAACAAAGUACUCUGCGCCUCUUGUAUUUGAGUGUCCACUUGACGGAAGACGAUCUCUCGAUAUGUCCUUUGUUGAACUCUCCCAGCAUUCUUAUAGCAAACAUUUACAAUGUGCUAUUUAUUUUUGGUAUUGCUAUAAAAAAAAAUACAGAGAAAUGAAUGUGGUCAAUCUAUCGAUUUAGUAUUACUUAUAUGUAUUUGUUUUAUGUGUGUGUAAUUUUGUAUGUAUAUAGUCUGAUAUAUUAUGUAUUAGUGUUUUUUUAUUAUUAUUAUUAUUUAUUUAAAAUCUUAUUAAUAACAUAAGAUAUUAAAAAAAGAUGUGUGGUGUCGUAGGACACCGGAUAGGAACGAAGUUCCUUAUUAUAUAAAUAUUAUUAAUUUUAAGUUCUAUUCGUUAUUAUGAUUUUUUUAUUGAUAAAAAAAAUACUUUACAAAGUUAUCAACUUUAUUUUAUUUACAAUGAUUUAUAAAAAAUAUAUAAUAUUAAUAUACCAAGAAACAGCUAUUUAUAUGAAUAAUAAUAAAAAGAAGGAGAAAGAGAAAGGUAUUAUACACUACUCGCUUGUGUAUGCGACUGUCGCGCCUGCGCACGUCUCAUUUAACGGUUUUAUUCCACGCACUUUUUUCCACGGAUUUUUUCUUACGGUUUUACUAUCACAUUUUUUUCAGUUCGGUCGCGCAGCAAAAUCCCUAUCCCCUCCAAGCCUGCCGUAAGGAACUUCGUUCCAAUAAAAAUACAAUUUAAAAAAAAACACUAUAUAAGAUAGAUUGCCGCUGAUGGCAUGGAGUGUUUAGGACUACAAAGUGAGAAAUUGAAAAAAAGAAAAAAAGGGAUUGUGUAUUGCAUCAAUUAGUAAAUUGAUUAGACUGUACUCUUCUACCCACUUAUGUAAAGCUCUCUCUCUUUAAGAACGGUUAGCUGGUGGAUAACUCAAUUGUUGAGUUAAGCUCGCCAUUUUUUAACUUUGCGUUAUUAUUGUAUUGUAUUAGUUGUGUGUACAAUAAAGAAUAAAGAAUGU